GGUCUUGGGGUCUGUGUCUAGUGGUAUGAUUCUCGCUUAGAAUGCGAGAGGCCCCGAGUUCGAGUCGCGGCAAGACCC
rnacentral:tRNA from 1 species